rnacentral:lncRNA from 1 species
UGGGCUCUGCCGGCUUCGCAGCACCGCCUGCGGAAAGAGCGCAGGAUGGAGGAGGAAGAUUAAGAGAAAUCGCGAGCAGGGCUCUGCUGCCAUUGAGACUACCUCUUCCCCACUGCCCCCAGGAAUCCUAAGAGAAGUCAAGACGUGGAAAUGAGGGAGCAAAGCUAUGCUUGAAGAAUCAAAUGGUCAUUGGGUAAGUACCUACAGUGGAAAGAUAAGAUGAUUAAAUCUAGAUUCUUAAAUCGAGAAAGUGCCUUAGAGGUCAUUCAGUUCAACCACCUUAUUUAAAAAAUGAAGAAAUUAAUGGCCAAAAAGAGGAACUGAUUUGCCUAAAAUCAC